UCAAACUUGGUCAUUUAGAGGAAGUAAAAGUCGUAACAAGGUCUCCGUAGGUGAACCUGCGGAGGGAUCAUUACUGAGAAAUUGGGCCUUGUAGUCUUCGGGCUACGAGGUUCUUCCUUCCUAACCCAAUGUCUACUUUACCAUUGUUGCUUCGGCGGACGUAUCUCAAAUGAUACCGUCGAGGUUUUAAUCUAAAAACCUCUUUCGAGAUUCGCCGAGGGAUUUUUCUAAAAAACUCUUGAAAAUCAGUUUGAAAAACCUGAAUAUGGAUUUUAAUAUCAUAAAAAACUUUCAACAACGGAUCUCUUGGUUCUGGCAUCGAUGAAGAACGCAGC
rnacentral:misc_RNA from 1 species